UAAGGAAUAUUGGUCAAUGGACGCAAGUCUGAACCAGCCAUGCCGCGUGGAGGAUUAAGGCCCUCUGGGUUGUAAACUCCUUUUAUCUGGGAAGAAAUGUACUUUUUCUUGAGUACUUGACGGUACCAGAGGAAUAAGCACCGGCUAACUCCGUGCCAGCAGCCGCGGUAAUACGGAGGGUGCAAGCGUUAUCCGGAUUCACUGGGUUUAAAGGGUGCGUAGGUGGGCAGGUAAGUCAGUGGUGAAAUCUCCGGGCUUAACCCGGAAACUGCCGUUGAUACUAUUUGUCUUGAAUAUUGUGGAGGUAAGCGGAAUAUGUCAUGUAGCGGUGAAAUGCAUAGAUAUGACAUAGAACACCGAUUGCGGAGGCAGCUUGCUACGCAAAUAUUGACGCUGAGGCACGAAAGCGUGGGGAUCAAACA
rnacentral:rRNA from 1 species